rnacentral:rRNA from 1 species
UGGGGAAUUUUGGACAAUGGGCGAAAGCCUGAUCCAGCAAUGCCGCGUGUGUGAAGAAGGCCUUCGGGUUGUAAAGCACUUUUGUCCGGAAAGAAAUCCUUGGCUCUAAUACAGUCGGGGGAUGACGGUACCGGAAGAAUAAGCACCGGCUAACUACGUGCCAGCAGCCGCGGUAAUACGUAGGGUGCAAGCGUUAAUCGGAAUUACUGGGCGUAAAGCGUGCGCAGGCGGUUUGCUAAGACCGAUGUGAAAUCCCCGGGCUCAACCUGGGAACUGCAUGGUGACUGGCAGGCUAGAGUAUGGCAGAGGGGGGUAGAAUUCCACGUGUAGCAGUGAAAUGCGUAGAGAUGUGGAGGAAUACCGAUGGCGAAGGCAGCCCCCUGGCCAAGUACUGAUGCUCAUGCACGAAAGCGUGGGAGCAAACAGGAUUAGAUA